rnacentral:rRNA from 1 species
GUACACUCCUACGGGAGGCAGCAGUGGGGAAUUUUGGACAAUGGGCGAAAGCCUGAUCCAGCAAUGCCGCGUGAGUGAAGAAGGCCUUCGGGUUGUAAAGCUCUUUUGUCAGGGAAGAAACGGUGAGAGCUAAUAUCUCUUGCUAAUGACGGUACCUGAAGAAUAAGCACCGGCUAACUACGUGCCAGCAGCCGCGGUAAUACGUAGGGUGCAAGCGUUAAUCGGAAUUACUGGGCGUAAAGCGUGCGCAGGCGGUUUUGUAAGUCUGAUGUGAAAUCCCCGGGCUCAACCUGGGAAUUGCAUUGGAGACUGCAAGGCUAGAAUCUGGCAGAGGGGGGUAGAAUUCCACGUGUAGCAGUGAAAUGCGUAGAUAUGUGGAGGAACACCGAUGGCGAAGGCAGCCCCCUGGGUCAAGAUUGACGCUCAUGCACGAAAGCGUGGGGAGCAAACAGGAUUAGAUACCCUUGUAGUCCCA